rnacentral:rRNA from 1 species
UACGAAGGGGGCUAGCGUUGCUCGGAAUCACUGGGCGUAAAGAGCUCGUAGGCGGUGUGUCACGUCGGCCGUGAAAACCUGCAGCUUAACUGUGGGCGUGCGGUCGAUACGGGCAUCACUGGAGUUCGGUAGGGGAGACUGGAAUUCCUGGUGUAGCGGUGAAAUGCGCAGAUAUCAGGAGGAACACCUGUGGCGAAGGCGGCUUUCUGGGCCCUACCUGACGCUGAGACGCGAAAGCGUGGGGAGCGAACCGG